CCUGGGAAUGGCGUUUUGAACUGGCAGUCUAGAGUGCGUCAGAGGGGGGUGGAAUUCCACGUGUAGCAGUGAAAUGCGUAGAGAUGUGGAGGAACACCGAUGGCGAAGGCAGCCCCCUGGGAUGACACUGACGCUCAUGUACGAAAGCGUGGGUAGCAAACAGGAUUAGAUACCCUGGUAGUCCACGCCCUAAACGAUGUCAACUGGUUGUUGGGGGAGUGAAAUCCCUUUAGUAACGAAGCUAACGCGUGAAGUUGACCGCCUGGGGAGUACGGUCGCAAGAUUAAAACUCAAAGGAAUUGACGGGGACCCGCACAAGCGGUGGAUGAUGUGGAUUAAUUCGAUGCAACGCGAAAAACCUUACCUACCCUUGACAUGUCCGGAAUCCUGCAGAGAUGCGGGAGUGCCCGAAAGGGAAUCGGAACACAGGUGCUGCAUGGCUGUCGUCAGCUCGUGUCGCGAGAUGUUGGGUUAAGUCCCGCAUCGAGCGCAACCCUUAUCAUUAGUUGCUACGCAAGGGCACUCUAAUGAGACUGCCGGUGACAAACCGGAGGAAGGUGGGGAUGACGUCAAGUCCUCAUUGCCCUUAUGGGUAGGGCUUCACACGUCAUACAAUGGUCGGUACAGAGGGUUGCCAAGCCGCGAGGUGGAGCCAAUCCCAGAAAGCCGAUCGUAGUCCGGAUUGUUCUCUGCAACUCGAGAGCAUGAAGUCGGAAUCGCUAGUAAUCGCGGAUCAGCAUGUCGCGGUGAAUACGUUCCCGGGUCUUGUACACACCGCCCGUCCCCCCCAUGGGAACUGGAGAGAG
rnacentral:rRNA from 1 species